GCCGCUAUGGCGCAGUGGUAACGCGUCGCACUUGUACCAUUUGGACAGAACAAAACUGUCUUUCAUGUCGUGAAAUGCGAAGAUCCCUAGUUCAAUUCUGGGUGGCGGCA
rnacentral:tRNA from 2 species